CAGUUGUAGCUGACGAGAGAAGUACUUUGUGAGUAAUUUGUGGCUUUGCUCGGUGAACAGACAACUACCUGACGUCAUCACUCCCAGAAUGCAUUGCACGGCCAAAACAUGGCCGCCACCAUGUAAGCAAUAAUCCUAUAAACGAGUGGCAUUUUAUAACUUAUGCAUUAUGUUUAUACUUUUCUUACAGCGUAUUUUAAGUGUAGACAUCAGCGACAACAUUUGUAGAGCUAAUAGACAUUUUUAUCGGGGUUCGCUUUAAAGGUAAGCAUACUAUAUUUUUCAGUGUGUUUGUACACACUGUUCACCUGCUUAUUCAGAAAAGUAACCUAAUUGAUUGUUUGAUUUAUAUGGAAUAAUAUGUCUGAAUUUUUUUGUAGGCAAACAAGCGAACCAUUGAAAAUGGUGGUGUGUCAUGCUCAUGGAACACUUUGAUCUUGGAAGGUGAGGUGCCACCAGUUUUUCGCCUGAAGGGAAAAUUGGAUGACAUGACAGAGUACAGCCUUUUAAGGCUGAAGAGAGGAAGAAAAGUUGUCAACAAACAGCUGCUCCAGUUGUGCAGGGGAUGGAGACAACUGAAGAAGAGACCAGUGUGGUGGCCCGAGUUGUGGAGCACUGCAAGAAAGCAGCAGAAUGGGUGGAGAUGAACCCACAGCUGUCAGCAGCCAGGGUGGAGGUGCCUGACGGUUUGAGCAUGGACGACACAUCAUGCACUGAGGAGGCUGUGCAACAGCUGGAAAACCUCUUUCACGCCACCCUGGAUUUUGGUGAAGAGGAAAGAGAAGUGAUUCUGGAGCUUUUUAAGUUUUUGUUAUACAACAUUUGAGAUAUGUGUGUCUUUUGUGAAGAGAUCAUGGACAAAGGAGGGUACAUAGCAUACUGCGAGCGCAAAGAAAAAUAAAACAAAUUGGAAGUUUG